rnacentral:tRNA from 1 species
GAGGUUGUGGCUCAGUUGGUAGAGCAUUUGCCUAGCAUGCAGAAAGCCCUGGGUUCGAUCACCAACACCCUAU